rnacentral:miRNA from 1 species
UCACAGUUCUUGAUUACCCAC